rnacentral:rRNA from 1 species
AACGAACGCUGGCGGCAGGCUUAACACAUGCAAGUCGAACGACCUCUUCGGAGGGAGUGGCAGACGGGUGAGUAACGCGUGGAAACAUGCCCUUCUCUACGGAAUAGCCCUUGGAAACGAGGUGUAAUACCGUAUACGCCCUUAGGGGGAAAGAUUUAUCGGAGAAGGAUUGGUCCGCGUUAGAUUAGUUUGUUGGUGGGGUAAUGGCCUACCAAGACUACGAUCUAUAGCUGAUUUGAGAGGAUGAUCAGCCACACUGGAACUGAGACACGGUCCAGACUCCUACGGGAGGCAGCAGUGGGGAAUCUUGGACAAUGGGGGAAACCCUGAUCCAGCCAUGCCGCGUGAAUGAUGAAGGCCUUAGGGUUGUAAAAUUCUUUCACCGGGGAAGAUAAUGACGGUACCCGGAGAAGAAGCUCCGGCUAACUUCG